ACGGAAGGCAGCAGUGAGGAAUAUUGGUCAAUGGACGCAGGUCUGAACCAGCCAAGUCGCGUGAGGGAUGGCGGUCCUAUGGAUUGUAAACCUCUUUUGUCGGGGAGUAACGUGCGGUACGUGUACCGUAUUGAGAGUACCCGAAGAAAAAGCAUCGGCUAACUCCGUGCCAGCAGCCGCGGUAAUACGGAGGAUGCGAGCGUUAUCCGGAUUUAUUGGGUUUAAAGGGUGCGCAGGCGGCACGUUAAGUCAGCGGUGAAAUGUCGGGGCUCAACCCGGGCACUGCCGUUGAAACUGGCGAGCUUGAGUACGGAUGAAGUCGGCGGAAUGUGAUGUGUAGCGGUGAAAUGCUUAGAUAUGUCACAGAACACCGAUUGCGAAGGCAGCUGACUAAUCCGCAACUGACGCUCAGGCACGAAAGCGUGGGGAUCGAACAGGAUUAGAUACCCUGGUA
rnacentral:rRNA from 1 species